CAACAAGUGUGACAAGUUCGGACACAGAGCGUCAGACUGCAAAUCCCGAUUUAAGAAGGAUGGAACACCUCUUGUGCCCCAGCAGGGAAACGGGGGAGGCCGCGUGGGGGGCGCGGCUCAGACCUCAUCUUAAGCGACCGGACCCCCCACAACGGAGGCUGCCUCGACGAUCUACUCGCCGCCACCAGAGGAAGCGCUGGCCUCGAUUUGGUCGUAAGUGAAACAAUAACAAUCACAACACAGGAGGUUACACUAAUCCCUACUACCAGUAAAGGACCAUUAGGGUAUGGACUUUCUGCCUUGCUAAUAGGAAGAUCUUCAGCUACAAGAACUGGAAUUUUUGUACAACCAGGAUUAAUCGAUAGUGACUUCACAGGAGUUAUUCACAUUAUGGUUAAUGUUUUUACACCACCAAUUACCAUUCCAAAAGGCAGUAAGAUAGCACAAUUGAUUCCUUUCAAAGCCUGUGUACCACAUUCAACACCUAAAAUCAGAGGAACAGGAGGGUUUGGGUCUACAGAGCCACUAAUAGCUUUCUCUGAGGUGAUAACUAACAACAAACCUACACGUUCUGUUACCAUUAUCCAUCCCGACACUCAGAUCACCCCUAAAACCAUUACAGCUGAGAUGAUGAUUGACACGGGUGCAGAUGUCACUAUAGUGCCAGCUGCAUAUUGGCCAAAAGCGUGGCCAAUUGUAAAUUCAUCUGAGAAGGUUUUGGGAAUAGCAGGACUAGCAGAAAUGAGAAAAAGUGCUGUGUUAUUGGACAUCAAAGACAAUGAGGGGAACAUUGCAAAAGUAACACCUGUAAUCAUGAACACACCCUUAUGGUUGCUAGGUCGAGAUGUACUCUCCCAAUGGCAACUUGUUUUGUCUACUCCUUUUCCAUAGCGGCCACUGACAAAGGUGCUCUUCCCACUAUUAAGCUGACUUGGAAAACUGAUAAGCCUGUGUGGGUUGAUCAGUGGCCGCUCACUGAUGAAAAAUUGGAGCACCUGAACCAGCUUGUGGAUGAACAAUUAGAGAAAGGCCAUAUAAAAGAAUCUUUUAGUCCUUGGAACACUCCAGUUUUUGUUAUACAGAAAAAAUCAGGAAAAUGGCGAUUUUUGCACGAUCUUCGUGCUGUUAAUGAGCAAAUGACGCCAAUGGGAGCGUUACAACCAGGCCUACCUUCUCCAGCUGCAAUACCUGUUAAUUGGGCUGUCUACAUUAUUGAUCUUAAGGAUUGUUUCUUUAGUAUUCCACUCGAUCCUGCUGAUACUCAACGAUUUGCCUUUAGUAUACCAUCAAAGAAUAACAGUGCCCCCAUGAGAAGAUUUGAAUGGAUAGUUCUGCCACAGGGAAUGCGUAAUAGCCCAACCAUAUGUCAAUGUCAUACUAACUUGCCUGGAUUCUUGUCAGAAGGAAACGCGAAAGCCGAUGAGGUGGUGAGUGCUGGAGCCCAGCAAAAUGAUACUGAUGAACCUUCUGUUUCUGUCAAAUCAGCCACUCAGGCAAUUAAGCAAGCACAAAGGACGGAGAGCGGUGGUUGCCAGCCAAGUGGGUGCGACCCUGGCUACAUGCUGAAACCAAGGAAAACAAGGAGGAUGAUCAAACGGCGAUAGAAGAAAUCGCUGACUUAGAAGCUGCACACAACGUCACCAGAGACAACUGAUCUGAGCUAAAUGUUGAACAAUAUGUAUUGGUUAUCUGCUAUUGUAAUUAUUUUUGUGGUGCAGGAGAAUUUUGGGUGGGGUAGUGAAGACAACUUUUGGGUGAAUUGGGCAAAGGAGACAAAUAACCCAUCCUUUUGCUUACACUUAUCAGCAGCCACAGACCCAUUUAAAACAUGCCUGAUAGGGUUGCCAUUUGAUGAUCAACGCACUUUGGUAGCCUCCUUUUCAUCUCUCACACAUCAAGAUUGUUCUACAGCAAAAAGUGUAAGUCAUUGUAUGGCAUUAAUAGUUGCAAGCCUCAAUGACCCUUUACCAUGGGAUCCUCAAGAGUUCAACCUGUUAGGAAGUAGAAUGCCAAAUCAGUCAGGAUGUCUGAUAUUUGGCUCGCACAAUCUGACGGAUCGUCAAAUAACAGAUCUAACAUCCUAUCAUUUUCCUUAUUGGAGUACCUCUGAUUUUUGUGCUAAAGACACGGUUUAUGGUUGGAACACAAAUGGUAUGUGCCUUAACAUCACCAAAGCCUUAAGAUUGCCUAGAAAUGUGUUCCUGAUUUGUGGUAGAAGAGCGUGGCUUGGAAUCCCAAAAGAAAGUAACGGAGGGCCAUGUUACAUUGGUCACCUUUCUUUGCUAACUCCUACUUCAGAAUUUAUCCGAAAUCAUAUUGCAAGUAGUGCAACUCUAUUAAGAAAUCGUAGAAAUGUAGAAAUGUUAACCUCUGAUUGUAAUGAUGAAGUGGAACUUUGGUCUCAUACAGCAAGAGUUUUUGGAGCAUUGUUUCCUCCUAUAGGAACAGCACAUGCCUUGUCAGCCAUUCAGAGAUUAGCAUGUUGGACAGCAAAACAAGCUAAUGUUACUACUAGUGUUAUUUCUCAGCUUGCAGUAGAUCAAAAUAGUUUGCGAAAGGCUACCCUGCAAAAUACAGCAGCUAUAGAUUACUUGCUUUUAGUACAAGGAAAAGGCUGUGAAGAGGUAGAAGGAAUGUGUUGUUUUAACUUGUCUGAUCAUAGUGAUUCAAUCCAUAAAAAGGUAGACUGGCUUCAGCAUCAUACAGAGAAAAUUACAGCGAAUCAUAACCCCUUUGAUGAUUGGCUAAUGUCAUGGGGAAUUUCAGCUUGGGCAAAAGAGUUAAUCAAAACUGUAGGAAUAGUAUUACUUAUUGUUAUUGUUGUGUUAUUUUUAGGACCCUGCAUCUUCCGAUGUCUAUCCUGGCAGAUGCAUCGGAUCGCUGCUACAGUGUUUGAAAAGAAAGGGGGAGAUGUGGGGAAUUUUGUAGGGGCUGUUGCUUUGCAAUCGAUACGUAGGCGAUUGGAACACAGCGGGUAAGACACUGCUCAGCCCAAGGACACUGUGUCCGCUUCGUGCGUUCUAUGAAAAAAAGCAGGGUUGGCCUGAGGAUGUUGCGUCCUUGUGAUACAGCUGUGCAAAGUAAAACAAGUAAUGAAUCAGUCAUGAAUAUACCUUAGAACAAAGGAUCUGCACAUCUGGAAAUGUAGGGUUUGAUAUAUGAGCACACGUACUGCUUAUAAAAAUACCUUUUUGUAUCUACUAAUGAUUAUGCUUUAAACCACAAAAAUGUAUUGCAUGGACCAAUUAGAAAUCGACAUGUAAUCCUGUAAUAGUAUAAAAAGCCUUCUGAUUUGUGUAUUAAACGUCUUACAUUUACAAUCCA